UCCGCGCCAGGGGAUGGGGUGCCCCCUCUAACCGCCGAAGAGGCUGAUGACUCCUGUCGGAUU
rnacentral:ncRNA from 2 species